AGCGAACGCUGGCGGCAGGCUUAACACAUGCAAGUCGAGCGGGCACUUUCGGGUGUCAGCGGCGGACGGGUGAGUAACGCGUGGGAACGUGCCCUCUGGUUCGGAAUAACUCAGGGAAACUUGAGCUAAUACCGGAUACGCCCUUUUGGGGAAAGGCUUGCUGCCGGAGGAUCGGCCCGCGUCUGAUUAGCUAGUUGGUGAGGUAACGGCUCACCAAGGCGACGAUCAGUAGAUGGUCUGAGAGGAUGAUCAGCCACACUGGGACUGAGACACGGCCCAGAAUCUUACGGGAGGCAGCAGUGGGGAAUAUUGGACAAUGGGCGCAAGCCUGAUCCAGCCAUGCCGCGUGAGUGAUGAAGGCCUUAGGGUUGUAAAGCUCUUUUAUCCGGGACGAUAAUGACGGUACCGGAGGAAUAAGCCCCGGCUAACUUCGUG
rnacentral:rRNA from 1 species